AUGUUCUCGUCCCGCUCACUCAGCCGCGUCAACAACAUCCGCACUGCGCUCAUCAAUGCACAGAAGGGCAACUAGUCGGUCGCCGCCUACUUUGCCUCCCUGUGCGGCCUUGCUAAUGAACUCGCCGCCGCCGGGAAACCCAUCCAAGAUGACGAGUUGAUCUCGUACAUUCUCCAUGGGCUCGACAUCGACUACCAGCCGCUCGUCUCCGCCCUCGACGCCCGAGUCACGCCCGUCACACUUGAUGAGCUCUAUGCCAUGCUGAGUAACUUCAAUCAGCGCAUGGCCCAGUUCCAUGGCUCCGCCGGC
rnacentral:rRNA from 1 species